rnacentral:tRNA from 1 species
AUAAAAGCAUUGUCAGAAGUGGGAUUUGAACCCACGCCUCCAUUCGGAGACCAGAAAUCCCCAUUUAAGUGGAAGGUUUUCCCCUUGAGUCUGGCGCCUUAGACCACUCGGCCAUCCUGACAACUGCGAACCGAUGGCCAUAGUAUUGAACUUAUAGUUAGACUUCUUUACUCUUCUAAUAUUAAUGUCCCUUCAUUAACCUAUUUGUUCUGAUCGAAUGUGUCGUCGUAGUCAGGAUGGCCGAGCGGUCUAAGGCGCCAGACUCAAGGAUGAUAUCCUUCCUAUCAUGAACCGGGAAUUCUGGUCUCCGAAUGGAGGCGUGGGUUCAAAUCCCACUCCUGACAUACGUUUUACUUUACCUUUAUUUGCUUCAAUCCUACUUUAAAAAAAACCGGCCGUGACGCAAGAGCAGACUUUUACUUCCGUCUGUCCUGGUGUGGAACAUCUGUCCCUCUCUGCGCCGGUGGGCUGUCCGGUAGUUCUCACAUCACAUUCGUCACACAUAACUUCAGAAUCACAGCGAACUUCUGCAGCUCCUUUGUUUCGCUCUCUCUCUUCUCGCUUCUACUCGACGGAGUAAAAACUUUGGACAGCACCCUCCCUCCGCUCCCCACCCCCCCUCUUGCAAUAAAUUGAGGAGUGUUUGGAAAUUUGUGAUGAGGAACCCUGCAUUUAUUUCUGACACCUGUUGCCGAGGACAGCUGUGCGCAACAAUCCGUAAUUACUUUAUUUGGAGGAACCUGGACUUUUUCUUGACUGCUCCCACUUCUGUUGCAUGUGAGACUAUUUUGUGCGUGUGAUUGAACUUUUAUUUCUGGACGUGUCCACGAAGUUGGAAUCUGGUGAACGCCGUGGGGGGGUUCAAUCAAGGGCUUUUCCGCCCUUUAAGAAGUUACAAACUCCGACAUGUUUGUAGUCGCACAGCUGAACUGAGAGCCGCGGGUUUUGGGGGGGAUUCGAGCGCUCCGAAUGGUGCACGGUUACGGAAGAAAGAACGUCAUUCAUCAGUCUAGCCCUGUCUGGUUUUUCCUGCUCGAUCGCCCCCACUCCGGCUCUCUCUCGCUCCAGGUUGGGUGCCGACGGCAGACUUUUUGGACCGAGGCGGUUUUUUCCUCCACUUCUGCCCCUUUUUUAGUCAAAGCGCACGAGAGCCGAACUCAGUAAGUUGCCAGCGACUCUGCUAGUCAUUUUUAGGUCAUUACCACCCCACCCACCCACCCCCCUCCUCCACACACACACACACACACACACACUCAAUCCCAUCUUACCUUAACUCUUUUUCAACGCAAUAUCCUUAGUUCUACUCAAGUUUCAUGAAGUUUCGUGCAGGAUUCAAAGUGCC